GUAACGCAAAGGGGAAGAAGAGGAACUCGUUCCUUGUUCCUGUACCUCUAGCAGAAGCAAGACUUCUAGGACCAGGUGAAGAUGCCUGCUUUAGACAUGGAGCCAUUAGGAAACUAGUACUACAUAAUUUCCUCACUUUUGAUAAUAUUGUCCUGGAACCAUCACCUCAACAGUUGGUCGGAACGGUGAACACCUCUCAUUUAUUCUGUCCUCACUGACACUCAAAAAGUUUCAGAUUGCAUAAAAACGGCACUGUGGAAGGGGGUGUGGCUAAAUAGAACCCUAAUUUCUAUCCUAAUAAUACACAACAAAACUAGGAAAGUGUGCCACACCUCUUCCGGUGCUGGUUUUUGUGUGACCCAAAUUUUUGACCUUUUCAUUAAAUUAAUUUUUUGUAGGCACUGGUAAAUCAAGUCUUGUUUGUGCCAUAAUGUCUUGUUCUUUGUGGCAAUACCUCUAUCCUUGGACGAGCAAAAGACUUGAAGGAUUUUGUGAAGAGCAGCCCAGCAAAGGAAGGAUAUGUUGAGAUUACAAUUCAUCACAGAAGUGGUAACCAUCCCACCAUUAGGAGACAUAUAUUCAAGGACAGGAAUAAUUCAAAAUGGCUUCUUAAUGGAGUUGACAAGAGAGAAAUGGAGGUUAAAGAUCUUGUGAAGAGUUUGAAUAUACAACUGGAGAAGAAGUGCCAAUUUCUGCCACAAGUAUGGUAUACAAUCUCCAGUUUAUUUUAAGGAUAAGAGUGGACGACUAGUAAUAUCACCAAAAGUUGAUGAUCCAAACACACUGCACUGGACUGAAGGUUCUAUUACAUUUACUGAUCGUAGUAUUACAGUGGAAACUCAUCAUUCUUCGUUCGCUAUUAGCUUAUUUGAUCAUAUCCUUGUUAGCGUUAAAGUUGAUUCCACAUCACCAGCCCAUCCUCAUAAAAUAUCACUUGAACUGAACCAAUGCACACCAACCAAACCAAGUACUGGUGAUCAUCGGAAGGAAGGGAAGACAACAUCAAAAGAUAUUAUUAAAGUUUUGAGAUCAGAAGAGAAAGCAAAACGUGAAAAAGACACUAGUGAAAUGUUGAGUGAAGAAUAUAAGCAGCAGGAACACACUUUAUAUACAAUAAUUAAUAAAAUGCAUCACAUUGGAAUAAGAGACUAUUGAUGAGUUAUUGUUGAUGAUUCUAUAGAGGUGAGAGUAUACACAACCUUGGUUUUAAUCCACCCACUAUUAAUUAAUUGUGUUACUAUUCAUUUUUUCACAAUGUAUGCUUUGAACAGUUCGACCAGA